rnacentral:rRNA from 1 species
CCACUAUGCCUAGCCCUAAACCCAAAUAGUUACAUAACAAAACUAUUCGCCAGAGUACUACUCGCAACUGCCUAAAACUCAAAGGACUUGGCGGUGCUUCACAUCCACCU